UCGGGAAACUUCUGCAAUGCGCGCAAGCGUGACAGAGCAAACCAGAGUGCGUUUCCAUAUUGGAAACGCUUUUGUGAGAUGCAAAAAGUCUUACGAAUAAGGACCGGGCAAGACUGGUGCCAGCCGCCGCGGUAAUCCCAGCGGUCCGAGUCGCAGCCACAAUUAUUGGGUCUAAAACAUCCGUAGCUUGCUUUGUAAGUCUUUUGUGAAAUCGGGACUCUUAAGGUUCCGGCGAGCAAAAGAUACUGCUUAGCUAGAGACCGGUAGACGUAAUGAGUACGAAUAGGGUAGCGGUAAAAUGUGUUGAUCCUAUUCGGACUAACAACAGCGAAGGCACGUUACGAGCACGGUUCUGACAGUGAGGGAUGAAGGCUAGGGGCGCAAAGUGG
rnacentral:rRNA from 1 species